rnacentral:rRNA from 1 species
UGCUUAACACAUGCAAGUCGAACGAUGACUUCUGUGCUUGCACAGAAUGAUUAGUGGCGAACGGGUGAGUAACACGUGAGUAAGCUGCCCUUGACUUCGGGAUAAGCCUGGGAAACCGGGUCUAAUACCGGAUACGAAGCUCCUGGCGCAUGCCAUGGGGGUGGAAAGCUNUAUUGCGGUUUUGGAUGGNCUCGCGGCCUAUCAGCUUGUUGAUUGGGUAAUGGCCCACCAAGGCGACGACGGUAGCCGGCCUGAGAGGGUGACCGGCCACACUGGGACUGAGACACGGCCCAGACUCCUACGGGAGGCAGCAGUGGGGAAUAUUGCACAAUGGGCGAAAGCCUGAUGCAGCGACGCCGCGUGAGGGAUGACGGCCUUCGGGUUGUAAACCUCUUUCAGCAGGGAAGAAGCGAAAGUGACGGUACCUGCAGAAGAAGCGCCGGCUAACUACGUGCCAGCAGCCGCGGUAAUACGUAGGGCGCAAGCGUUAUCCGGAAUUAUUGGGCGUAAAGAGCUCGUAGGCGGUUUGUCGCGUCUGCUGUGAAAGCCCGGGGCUCAACCCCGGGUCUGCAGUGGAUACGGGCAGACUAGAGUGCAGUAGGGGAGACUGGAUUCCU